rnacentral:rRNA from 1 species
CGAGGCGAACCGGGGAAACUGAAACAUCUCAGUACCCCGAGRAAAAGAAAUCAACCGAGAUUCCCCCAGUAGCGGCGAGCGAACRGGGAGCAGCCCAGAGUCAACAUCAAUAUUUACCRCAGGAGAARGRUCUGGAAARGCCGGCAAUAAAGGGUGAUAGCCCCGUAUCURARGCGGUAAGUGUUGUGAACUCGAAGAGUARGGCGGGACACGUGUUAUCCUGUCUGAAUAUGGGGGGACCAUCCUCCAAGGCUAAAUACUCCUGACUGACCGAUAGUGAACCAGUACCGUGAGGGAAAGGCGAAAAGAACCCCGGCGAGRGGAGUGAAAUAGAACCURAAACCGUGUACGUACAAGCAGUAGGAGCACCCGAAARGGUGUGACUGCGUACCUUUUGUAUAAUGRGUCAGCGACUUAUAUUCUGUAGCAAGGUUAACCGCAUAGGRGAGCCGUAGGGAAACCGAGUCUUAACUGGGCGUUAAGUUGCAGGGUAYAGACCCGAAACCYGGUGAUCUAGCCAURRGCAGGUUGAAG